AAAAUAAUAAAUAAUAAUUACAUGUAAAGUAGCUUGUAAUUUUGAAUGAAAAUAACGUAGUCCUAGUUGGAAAUAAAUAUAGAGAGAUUUAUUUUAAACUUUCUCCAUUUAUUAAAAAGAAACUUUUAUUAAUUUCUUUAUACACAAAGAAGUUAAGUUUAGAAUGUUAUAUAUUUUUUUCCGUUUACAGCUGUUAAAUUUAAUUACACUUAAAAAAAGAGAAUGAAUUUUCCCUACACACAAUUUAUAAGUGCUAAAUUUUAUUAUUUUUUUAGCUUAUCAAUGGACAUCCAGCAAAAGAAUCCAUACAGUAUGAGUGGCUAAAAUUAGUAUGCAAACAAGGGAGAGCCACAAAACCAACAUCGAGUAAAGGCAUCCGGCCGAAUCAAAGGUCAUGGAAACAUGAUUGUGGUGCAGUGAUACGUGCUGUGAUAAGGCAUUCAGAUGUUACUGGCUACCAGUUUGUCAUCACAAAGGCAAUAUUGUCACAUGAGAAUCACCCCACAGAUCAUUUGACUGCACUUGUGUAUCCUGAAAAUAGAAGAAUAAAGCCUGAUGAAACCGUGGAUCUGAUGGUUGGCACCAAAAUACCGCAGUCAGAAUUGCGACAAAUCAUCUCGCAGAAACAGAACAAAUGUGUUCUUGGAAAGGAUGUGGAAAACUACAGGAGAAAACUGAAAGACCCCUGCACUGACAGUGAA